rnacentral:rRNA from 1 species
UACGUAGGGUGCAAGCGUUGUCCGGAAUUAUUGGGCGUAAAGAGCUCGUAGGCGGUUUUGUCGCGUCUGCUGUGAAAAACUCGGGGGCUUAACCCCCGGGCCUGCAGUGGGUACGGGCAGACUAGAGUGCGGUAGGGGAGACUGGAAUUCCUGGUGUAGCGGUGAAAUGCGCAGAUAUCAGGAGGAACACCGGUGGCGAAGGCGGGUCUCUGGGCCGAUACUGACGCUGAGGCACGAAAGCGUGGGGGAGCAAACAGG